UACGAAGGGGGCUAGCGUUGCUCGGAAUCACUGGGCGUAAAGGGCGCGUAGGCGGCGUUUUAAGUCGGGGGUGAAAGCCUGUGGCUCAACCACAGAAUGGCCUUCGAUACUGGGACGCUUGAGUCUGGUAGAGGUUGGUGGAACUGCGAGUGUAGAGGUGAAAUUCGUAGAUAUUCGCACGAACACCGGUGGCGAAGGCGGCCAACUGGACCAGCACUGACGCUGAGGCGCGAAAGCGUGGGGAGCAAACAGG
rnacentral:rRNA from 1 species